rnacentral:rRNA from 1 species
UACGUAGGGUGCGAGCGUUGCCCGGAUUUAUUGGGCGUAAAGGGCGCGUAGGCGGCCACGCACGUCCGUUGUGAAAUCGCCCGGCUCAACUGGGCGGGGUCAGCGGAUACGGCGCGGCUGGAGCAAGCUAGGGGGCAAUGGAAUUCCCGGUGUAGUGGUGAAAUGCGUAGAGAUCGGGAGGAACACCUGCGGCGAAGGCGGCCGACUGGGCCGACCCUGACGCUGAGGCGCGAAGGCGUGGGGAGCGAACGGGG